rnacentral:rRNA from 1 species
UACGUAGGGUGCAAGCGUUAAUCGGAAUUACUGGGCGUAAAGCGUGCGCAGGCGGUUAUGUAAGACAGUUGUGAAAUCCCCGGGCUCAACCUGGGAAUGGCAAUGGAUACUGGGCAGCUAGAGUGUGUCAGAGGAUGGUGGAAUUCCCGGUGUAGCGGUGAAAUGCGUAGAGAUCGGGAGGAACAUCAGUGGCGAAGGCGGCCAUCUGGGACAACACUGACGCUGAAGCACGAAAGCGUGGGGAGCAAACAGG